rnacentral:rRNA from 1 species
AAGUCCUACGGGGGGCAGCAGUGAGGAAUAUUGGUCAAUGGCCGGAAGGCUGAACCAGCCAAGCCGCGUGAAGGACGAAGGUGCCAAGCAUUGUAAACUUCUUUUGUCAAGGGACAAAAUCAGGCUCGAGAGCCUGACCGAGGGUACUUGAAGAAAAAGCAUCGGCUAACUCCGUGCCAGCAGCCGCGGUAAUACGGAGGAUGCGAGCGUUAUCCGGAUUUAUUGGGUUUAAAGGGUGCGUAGCCGGACUGUUAUGUCAGCGGUAAAUCCCCGGGCCUCAACCCCGUCGAGCCGUU